rnacentral:rRNA from 1 species
CCGAUGAGGUAGGUGGUCUAGGCGCGGCGGGGACGGGUUUAGGAGAGGCGCACGCGGCGUGGGUUAGGGCAGGAGCGAGCAGAGUGCGCCGGGAGAACGCGGCGAGCAGAGGUGGAGUAUAGACCGUAGGAGCGACGCCGGUAUCUAGCUCCUCCUGCCGCGCUACUGCUGGUGCUACGCAGCCUGUAGGGUCUAGCUGCUGCGCUACCUUCUGUACUCUCGACCGGCUCCUUCUCCCCCGUCCCGGCGUCCAGUACUUCCCGUGCCACCGACGCCCGCCUUCGUCGUACCCAACUUCCUCGCCGCCUACACCCGCCCCAGCCUCCAACCCCCUCUGAGCAGCCGACCCGCUGUCGCUCGCGGCCACUCGCGUUACGUACUCAAAGGUCUUCGCAGGAGAGGAUGUUCCAAGAGUUAGACAACGUAGAGACAAGAGGAGCAGUUCCCCUCCCCUCCGCCGGUUACUGUCCCUCUUCGUCGUCCGGCAGCUCCUCACGUUCGUCUUCCCCUUCGAAGACCUGCCCUAAAUCUGUUCCUUUGUCUCUGGGCACGCUUUAGCUCGUAGGACCAUCACGGAGCUGGUUUCGCCCAGCUGCCUAUCGUGGCCACUCGUGCCUCGUACCACGUCGCUCAACCUAUCCGUCGUUCUCUCCACUGGUGCCCACACCGAACCCCUCGAGGCGUGUGUACUUCACUACUACUCACGUAGGCUGGGGUGGUACGACGACCAGGACCUCUUUGUUCCCCAUGUACUUGGUCUUUACUACACUAUAUGAACCAAUAAACUUGUACUUCCAGUCGGCGCCCCACUGCGCUGUACCGAGUAAUGUUCGAAGUCGACCUAGCUUAUCACCCGGAAGAUAUAUAUAUAAGUCGACAUAGUAAAGAAUGAUAUAUAUAGAAGGACAGCUGGUCUGCUUUGGUAUGUACCUAGGAAGCGGAGGAAAGAACGAGUCUUGGGUACUAUGUUGGAGCCGCCGACAGGUCGCUGAUUGUCCAUUAAAGAGAAAGUUAAACUACUACUACCUACUCUUAGUCAAGAUACUAACGUCGAAUAUUUUUGUCUACAACCUACAGGGAAUACACUACACGAAUAAAUGGUACUAUCUACGUUAACGAAUAAUCGUCCACGAGAGGCUUAGGAAGAAAUUGAUUAAAUGAAAACUACAAGCCUGUUUCCUCUGAUAUUGAAAAAUAUAAGCAAGAUAGUACCUAAGGGAGAGAUCGGAUACAUGCAAAGUCUUUAUCCAUGUGUGGAUCCUCUUCGGACUCUGGAUUAUUAUCACGAUUCGUUAAUGAGACUAACAGUAAGAUACGAUAGUAGUGUUGUGUCCAGUUAUCUGUCAGUUGUUUACACAUUAGUCGAAAGGGAUCCAGGACCUAGUAGAUGAUUAUUAGUUUAAAACACCGCUCGCAGAAUAUUUAGUCGUAUGGAUAAAGAGGUGUGACCUAUCGAAAAUAACACUGAUGUUUCUUAUAUCAAACUCCUGCCGUACGGUUAACAAGAUACAGAAUCCCACGAGGUGGCUACCACUUUUAUGGAGUGUACUACUACAACCUAUAAGAAGAUGUUUGAAGACCGGAUGGUCACCGACUCAUAGCUUCGUUUUACACUGUCAACGUACUACACGAACUGACAAAUAAACGUAUGUCGUUAUAGUAGAAAACCUCUAUUUUGUCGACAUGCCGACAAUGUACUCUGGUACAGCCUUCUGGGACGACGAUACAUUCGUUUUCCUAAGUACUAUGGGCGCCACUUUUGUCUCUAUUCUACGAUGUCAAUCUCGUCGUAACUCUUUGGCUCCUGUGCUUUACUCAGACUUUUUACGAUACCCGACUAAGCAAGAUCGAUCCGAUACACACCAUCUUCAACAUGAGUGUCCUUCUGAUAGCACGAAACAUAUUUGGUGCAAUAUACUAAGUGAAGACAAUACGAAUAAAUGUAAGGUCACAAUCCUGACUUUAGGUAGAUAACAUUACUUAAACCAACAUAACCGUAAUGGAUAAACUGAAUCCGAACCAAGUAGUGUAUAUCUGACAAAAAGAAAUUGGGCGACGAACAUACUGGAUUUUGACAGUACAUAUACUCCGUUCAAUAAUCGUUACAAAGUGUAAAAGAAUGAACGUUAUGAUACGAACGGACAAGUCCAGAAGGUUCUGGAUUUAGUAGU